rnacentral:sRNA from 1 species
GAGGAUGCUGCCAGGGAAGGGCACUGACGUGCAUGGACCUGGAGGAUGCCACUGGCCAAAAGCUAGGAUCUCACUCACGUGUGGGAUCCGAAAACCCUGAAUUCAUGGAAACAGAGAGUGGAAAGGGGGUUGCAGGAGGCCGGGGCAGGAAGAGAGAUAGAGAAAGCAGAGACGUUGGUGAAAGGGUGCAAAGCGUUCGUUAGCUGGAGCUGUGGGCUUCAAGGUCAGCCGCGCUGUGUGGCGGCCACCACUGCCGUUAACCACAGUACACAGGGUGCUCGGUGCUGCUGUGGUCGGCCAACAAGGUGUUUGAGGAGCUGACGGACAUUGAGAGGCAGUUCCACAAGGCCUUCUACACGGUGCGGGCCUACCUCAACUGUGAGCGGUACUCCGUGGGCCUCCUGGACAUGACCAAGGAGAAGGAAUUUUUUGACGUGUGGCCUGUGCUGAUGGGAGAGUCCCAGCCGUACUUGGGCCCACGCACGCCUGAUGGCCGGGUGAGUCUUAGGGGAGGGGCCCAGGGCCUGUCCACACGCCUCUGUUUCCCUGACUCCAACUCCAGGGCAGGAGAGGGAGGGAUAGGGGUGGGGUUUAGGGAGGUGGGAACUGGCCGGUGGGACCCCGGGUGCCUGUCUGUGGUCUCCACCAGGCUCCCCUGCUGCUGCACUCCAGGGAUGGGGUGUCCAGGGCUGGUCCCUGAAUGAGGGCCGCCAGGCUGGUCGUGAAGACCCACGUCGGCUCUGAUUGUGGGGGCUCCUGCUGCCCCAUCUCCCCACGUGGGACCCCCUGUGCACGUGUAGGAUGCGUGUGUGUGUGUGAGAGAAUACGGGCCCAGCUUGUGUGUGGGAUUGUGCGGAACACAGACUGGGAAGACAGAUCUAAACCGCGGCGUGUGAUGCGUGUCCCGUGAGUAUUGGUGACGGUCUGCAUGUGUGUGCACCCUGAGCCUGUGCAUGUGUGGACAUGGGUGUGAGUGCGCCCGCAUUCGUAGAAUACCUGCGCACGGCG